CAGGCUUAACAAUGCAAGUCGAGGGGUAACAUUGUGCUUGCACAGAUGACGACCGGCGCACGGGUGCGUAACGCGUAUAGAACCUACCUUUUACAGAGGAAUAGCCUUUAGAAAUGAAGAUUAAUGCCUCAUGGUAUUGUAGACUGGCAUCAGUUUAUAAUUAAAGAUUUAUCGGUAAAAGAUGGCUAUGCGUCCUAUUAGUUAGUUGGUAAGGUAACGGCUUACCAAGACAGCGAUAGGUAGGGGUCCUGAGAGGGAGAUCCCCCACACUGGUACUGAGACACGGACCAGACUCCUACGGGAGGCAGCAGUGAGGAAUAUUGGACAAUGGAGGAGACUCUGAUCCAGCCAUGCCGCGUGUAGGAAGAAUGCCCUAUGGGUUGUAAACUACUUUUAUACAGGAAGAAACACUGGUAUGUAUACCAGCUUGACGGUACUGUAAGAAUAAGGACCGGCUAAC
rnacentral:rRNA from 1 species